AGGGGUGGGCGGGCCUACUCUGAGCGCAUGCGUGGCGUACACACGUGCCCGCUCGCCCCGAGCGAACUGUGGCCUUGCGGUUUGAACUUCAGCGAAACGGAAAGACACUGUGUUCAAGAUGGGACCGCCCUCUCUGCUCGCCUCUGUACUUCCACCCUCUCUGGAUAAAGGAGAGAACUGUCAAACCAGAGGAAAUGACUCAGACACAUCUCAAUAGCCUCAUGGGAUAGAGCACACACAGUAAAUGGAGCUGUGAGGCCGACUGUACUACUGCCUGAGCUGUUCACCAACCUAUCCAACUGGAGAGCGACUACUUUCAGGUCACCUCGUCCAGGGAGCCUCUGCUGACUUCUACAAGCAGCCUGCUUCCUGACCUUUAAAGGCCCAGAGACCUUUCAUUUGACAUGGUAUUUAAUUCCUUCCUAGUAUUUCCAUUAUUUGUUUAACCCCUUCAUUUAUUUAUGUAUGUAUUCAUUCACUCAUCAUUAAUGUAAAGCACCUACUGUAUGCCAGGCCCUAUGAUAGGAGUUAAGGGUUAGUAAAUCAAACAUAAGCCCUGCCAUUACAGAAUUUACUGUAUGGUAAGAUGGUAGCUAGGAGCAGUCACAUAAGUAUACAUACAAUUAUAGCCCAUUGAAAAUCCUUGCAAGUAGGAAUGGUGUUGGGCAUACAGCCUAUAUCACACAAAUGUUUGUAAAAUGUGAAAUGUCUUCAUUAGUUCUUAAUUUUCCACAUUAACAGGUGAAUGUACAAAUCAUGGACUAUCUAAAAAUGUUCCUCAGCCCGGAUGGUAUGGUUCAGUGGUUGAGCAUGGAGCUAUGAACUGGGAGAUCAUGGUUCUAUUCCUGGU